UUUUGUGUUGACUGCUACCUUUCCCCCCUGAUAUUUGAGGUUAUUGUGAGAAUAGCAAUCUGCCAGGAUUGCAGCUUUUGGCGCACUUUUAGAGCUUUAUUAUUUUAACUAGUUCCUGGAAGUAUUUCCAUGUUUGUAGUAACCACAGUGACCAGAUUAACAGACACCAUGGGUGAGAGAUGAGAGACAUGUAUACAGUGAGAACACUUAGUUCCAUAAACUUUGUGUUGCUUCGUGCUUCGUGCCUCACGUUUCAUGAUUCAUGUUGAUACACGAUUCCUAUGUAAUUAGAGACGAAGAGUAAACUAUGGAUAACAGCUUUUGUUAGUUAUACACAUUAGGACAUAAAACGAACCUCGACCGGCUUGGUCUUAUACUCCCUAUAACUAUUAUAUGACCUUAAUAAAGGUCAGGGUAAAGGCCAGACCAUUAUAUGUAAGGUUUAUGUUUUUGAAAAUACUAUAACCACAUAUUGGUAUCACUGUGAUCUUUUUUUGAAAUGCUCAAAUGUAUUUUAUAUUUACUGUAACCAUGUCACCGUGCUCGCAUUGUUUUGAGCUUCAUUUUGCACGCGCAUGUUUUUCGAAUAAUAAUCAUAAUGCGCAGUUAAAUAUAACCGAUUAAA